AGUGAACGCUGGCGGCAGGCCUAACACAUGCAAGUCGAGCGGCAGCGGGUCGUAGCAAUACGAUGCCAGCGAGCGGCGGACGGGUGAGGAAUACAUCGGAAUCUACCCAGUCGUGGGGGCUAACGUAGGGAAACUUACGCUCAUACCGCAUACGACCUGAGGGUGAAAGCAGGGGACAGCAAGGCCUUGCGCGAUUGGAAGAGGCGAUGUCGGAUUAGCUAGUUGGUGAGGUAAAGGCUCACCAAGGCGACGAUCCGUCGCUGGUCUGAGAGGAGGAUCAGCCACACUGGAACUGAGACACGGUCCAGACUCCGACGGGAGGCAGCAGUGGGUAAUACUGGACAAUGGGCGCAAGCCUGAUCCAGCCAUGCCGCGUGUGUGAAGAAGGCCUUCGGGUUGUAAAGCACUUUCAGUAGGGAGGAAGAGUUGAGUGUUAAUAGUACUUAACUUUGACGUUACCUACAGAAGAAGCACCGGCUAACUCUGUGCCAGCCGCCGCCGUAAAAC
rnacentral:rRNA from 1 species